UCUUGGUCAUUUAGAGGAAGUAAAAGUCGUAACAAGGUUUCCGUAGGUGAACCUGCGGAAGGAUCAUUAUGAUAAAAACUCUGUUGCCUCGUGCAAUGGUUAAACCCUUUGUGAACCAAAACAUUUAUUAGCUUCGGUAGCUUGCUGCAGGGCUUAGUUGCUCUGUUGUCUGUUAGCCUGCCGGCAGCACCAAAUUAAACCUGUAUUUUAAAUUUAGUCUGAAUAUAAAUUUUCGAAUGAAAAUCAAAACUUUCAACAACGGAUCUCUUGGUUCUCGCAUCGAUGAAGAACGCAGCGAAACGCGAUAGUUAAUGUGAAUUGCAGAAUUCAGUGAAUCAUCGAGUCUUUGAACGCACAUUGCGCCCUUUGGUAUUCCGAAGGGCAUGUCUGUUUGAGCGUCAUUACAACACCUCGUUACCAAUUAGUUUUGUGAACGGUUUUGAGCUUAGGUUUGGUCAAACAGCCUGGCUUUAAAGUUGAACGCUCUGCGGGUCACACUGCCAAACUAUACAUAGUAAAACUUAUUCUGUACGGUGAGAAAGUGAUGGCUUCGCCUGGAAAACAAACCCAUAUUAUAAGGUUUGACCUCAGAUCAGACAAGGAUACCCGCUGAACUUAAGCAUAUCAAUAAGCGGAGGAAAAGAAACCAACAGGGAUUGCCUCAGUAACGGCGAGUGAAGCGGCAACAGCUCAAAUUUGAAAUCUCAGGUAUUCUACUUGCGAGUUGUAAUUUGAAGAGGAUGUUUCGGUUGUAACCUAGGCCUAAGUUCCUUGGAACAGGACGUCGUAGAGGGUGAGAAUCCCGUACACGGCUGUAGGUUUACUUCCAUGUGUAACUCCUUCGAAGAGUCGAGUUGUUUGGGAAUGCAGCUCAAAAUGGGUGGUAAAUUUCAUCUAAAGCUAAAUACUGGCGAGAGACCGAUAGCGCACAAGUAGAGUGAUCGAAAGAUGAAAAGCACUUUGAAAAGAGAGUUAAACAGUACGUGAAAUUGUUGAAAGGGAAGCGUUUGCAAUCAGACUUGCUUUCGGUUGAUCAACGUUCCUUUUGGUUCGUGCACUCUGCCGUUCGCAGGCCAGCAUCGGUUAGGACGGUGGGACAAAGACUCAAGGAAUGUGGCAUUCUUCGGGAUGUGUUAUAGCCUUGUGUGUAAUGCCACCAGACCUGACCGAGGUCCGCGCUUUUUGCUAGGAUGCUGGCGUAAUGGUUGUAAACGACCCGUCUUGAAACACGGACCAAGGAGUCUAACAUCUAUGCGAGUGUUUGGGUGUCAAACCCAUACGCGUAAUGAAAGUGAACGGAGGUGGGAGUCUUAGGAUGCACCAUCGACCGAUCCUGAUGUUCUCGGAUGGAUUUGAGUAGGAGCAUAGCUGUUGGGACCCGAAAGAUGGUGAACUAUGCCUGAAUAGGGUGAAGCCAGAGGAAACUCUGGUGGAGGCUCGCAGCGGUUCUGACGUGCAAAUCGAUCGUCAAAUUUGGGUAUAGGGGCGAAAGACU
rnacentral:rRNA from 1 species